GAUGAAGAACGUAGUGAAAUGCGAUACUUGGUGUGAAUUGCAGAAUCCCGUGAACCAUCGAGUCUUUGAACGCAAGUUGCGCCUCAAGCCAUUAGGUUGAGGGCACGUCUGCCUGGGCGUCACAUAUCGUUGCCUGAUGCCAGUUUCCUCGUGAUGGGUGACUGUGCAGGGCGAAUGAUGGCUUCCCGUGAGCAUUGUUGCCUCAUGGUUGGUUGAAAAUUGAGUCCUUGGUAGGGAGCGCCGUGAUAGAUGGUGGUUGAGUGACGAACGAGACCCAAUCAUGUGAGACCCCUACCGAAUUUGGCCUUCAUGACCCACAUGCGUCUUUGGAACGCUCAUGACGAGACCUCAGGUCAGGCGGGGCUACCCGCUGAGUUUAAGCAUAUCAAUAAGCGGAGGA
rnacentral:misc_RNA from 1 species